rnacentral:rRNA from 1 species
AGACCCGAAACCCGGUGAUCUAGCCAUGGGCAGGUUGAAGGUUGGGUAACACUAACUGGAGGACCGAACCGACUAAUGUUGAAAAAUUAGCGGAUGACCUGUGGCUGGGGGUGAAAGGCCAAUCAAACCGGGAGAUAGCUGGUUCUCCCCGAAAGCUAUUUAGGUAGCGCCUCGUGAAUUCAUCUCCGGGGGUAGAGCACUGUUUCGGCUAGGGGGCCAUCCCGGCUUACCAACCCGAUGCAAACUGCGAAUACCGGAGAAUGUUAUCACGGGAGACACACGGCGGGUGCUAACGUCCGUCGUGAAGAGGGAAACAACCCAGACCGCCAGCUAAGGUCCCAAAGUCAUGGUUAAGUGGGAAACGAUGUGGGAAGGCCCAGACAGCCAGGAUGUUGGCUUAGAAGCAGCCAUCAUUUAAAGAAAGCGUAAUAGCUCACUGGUCGAGUCGGCCUGCGCGGAAGAUGUAACGGGGCUAAACCAUGCACCGAAGCUGCGGCAGCGAACGUAUCACCCAAGACAACUUUACGGAGUUGACGAUUGACGGAGCGAAGCGACGUCAAAGCGUUCAUUAAAGUCGAGUUGGCUUAGGGAUACGUUCGUUGGGUAGGGGAGCGUUCUGUAAGCCUGUGAAGGUGUGUCGUGAGGCAUGCUGGAGGUAUCAGAAGUGCGAAUGCUGACAUAAGUAACGAUAAAGCGGGUGAAAAGCCCGCUCGCCGGAAGACCAAGGGUUCCUGUCCAACGUUAAUCGGGGCAGGGUGAGUCGACCCCUAAGGCGAGGCCGAAAGGCGUAGUCGAUGGGAAACGGGUUAAUAUUCCCGUACUUGGUGUUACUGCGAAGGGGGGACGGAGAAGGCUAUGUUGGCCGGGCGACGGUUGUCCCGGUUUAAGCGUGUAGGUGUGUGUUCCAGGUAAAUCCGGUUCACUUUAACACUGAGGCGUGACGACGAGGCACUACGGUGCUGAAGCAACAAAUGCCCUGCUUCCAGGAAAAGCCUCUAAGCAUCAGGUAACACGAAAUCGUACCCCAAACCGACACAGGUGGUCAGGUAGAGAAUACCAAGGCGCUUGAGAGAACUCGGGUGAAGGAACUAGGCAAAAUGGUGCCGUAACUUCGGGAGAAGGCACGCUGACACGUAGGUGAAGUGAUUUACUCACGGAGCUGAAGUCAGUCGAAGAUACCAGCUGGCUGCAACUGUUUAUUAAAAACACAGCACUGUGCAAACACGAAAGUGGACGUAUACGGUGUGACGCCUGCCCGGUGCCGGAAGGUUAAUUGAUGGGGUCAGCGCAAGCGAAGCUCCUGAUCGAAGCCCCGGUAAACGGCGGCCGUAACUAUAACGGUCCUAAGGUAGCGAAAUUCCUUGUCGGGUAAGUUCCGACCUGCACGAAUGGCGUAAUGAUGGCCAGGCUGUCUCCACCCGAGACUCAGUGAAAUUGAACUCGCUGUGAAGAUGCAGUGUACCCGCGGCAAGACGGAAAGACCCCGUGAACCUUUACUAUAGCUUGACACUGAACAUUGAGCCUUGAUGUGUAGGAUAGGUGGGAGGCUUUGAAGUGUGGACGCCAGUCUGCAUGGAGCCGACCUUGAAAUACCACCCUUUAAUGUUUGAUGUUCUAACGUGGACCCGUAA